rnacentral:rRNA from 1 species
UACGGAGGGCGCGAGCGUUAACCGGAAUAAUUGGGCGUAAAGGGCACGCAGGCGGGUUUUUAAGUGAAGUGUGAAAUCCCCGGGCUCAACCUGGGAAUAGCAUUUCAGACUGGGAGUCUAGAGUACUUUAGGGAGGGGUGGAAUUCCACGUGUAGCGGUGAAAUGCGUAGAGAUGGGGAGGAAUACCGGAGGCGAAGGCAGCGACUUGGUAAUGUACUGACGCUGAGGUGCGAAAGCGUGGGGAGCAAACAGG